UUGCAACAGAAACUAAUUAUGAGCAGCAAGACCUGAAACCCCUAAUUAAAGUGGGAGUCAAUAAAGUGAUGCAGCGUUACCACUGGGGCAACACUGGUAGGAUGAGGGAUUUGAGCACAGGCCCUGGAGAAAAUAACUGCAGAGGCGCAGUGGUCUCAAAACAGAAUCUCAUCACGCAGACCCAGAUAUUUAUGGGCUGUUUCCUCAGAUACCAAAUGUUACAAAGAAACAGAGGACCAGAAUGGCAUGUCAUGCAGCAGAGGACAGACAAAGGACCAGGAACUCCAGCCUGUGCUUUUGCCAGAACCUGGUAUCUGAUCACCAAAUAUGAG